GGCUGCAGUGUUAUGUGGGAAAUAGGCUUGCAGCUCUUUUCGGAGAAGGCCGGGUUGUGUGAAGGUUUGCUUAGAACAGUUCUUCCUAACCAGUUUGAACUUUGCAGGAAAAGAAUGCUUUGGUGGCUGAUUUCUGUAACAAGAGAACUUUGACAUGGACCCUCAAGUUACCUGCCAAUCUAACUAGAAAGUCACUAGAGGA
rnacentral:lncRNA from 1 species